rnacentral:lncRNA from 1 species
GUGCUGUUAAGAUAAAUUUAUUUUCUUCAGCUUUCUUCACAGGAAACAUGAAAGUGCUUUACAGAAUUUGAAUACCAUUACCAUGGGACAAAAGGACAACAGGUGUGUGCACUGCACAGUUAGAAGUUGUCAUAUGCAGAAGCCAUGAUAGGUAAACCAGGGUAAAAAAAAUCUACUGACAAAAAUAUAUAUCACUCAGGUUUUGAACUUAAGUUAUGACUGUUAACACAAUUAUAUAAAUAUACAGGCACCAUUAGGUUCCUGUAUUAACUGUGGGGGCCAUACAGGCAUUCUCAGAAGCAGAUCAUAUUGAACUCUGCUGAAACAGUUUCUGCUGUGCUCCACAGGCUCCUAGCCAAACAAUUUUCCCAGCCAGACAGUAUAAUUCUUUCAUUUUCUGCACUACACUGAGCCCACAAUUACCAUAAUUUCUUCAUAUUAAGUCUGGUGCUGAGGCAUUCUGCUACGCUGUUGCAAACAAAUUCAGGUUGUUUUUUUUUUCUUUUGACUUAGAGAUCCUCUUACAAUUCCUCCCUCAGUAAUCUCUUAAUGAAAAAAAAAAUUAAAAUGCUUUAGGCUAGAUCCUGCUGUCCAGGUAAGACAGUUUUGUUUAAGCUAGAGCAUUACCAGUCAUGCAACUCUACUCCUUUCCAUAGCUGAGCUGUGUUGUACUGUGAACAUUGCUACUGCCUCUCUUGCUGUACUCCAUGGGAAUUCAGAUCCUGCAUAGCCUUUGAGGCUCUCUAGGUUUCAGUUCUUCAAGGAGACUGCAUUUACUUGCUAGGCAGUUUUGCAAUGUUUGUGAUACUUCAGCCCUGACAAAAACAAUGCAGCAUGAUCAAGGCUCAGGAGUUCUUGCCUGCUGCUUUCUAAAUAAGUGAAUAAUUCAGGCACCUGACUAAGAAAUCCUUGGCAUGGUAAUGAUGUAGAUGAACAGAAGGAGGGAAUACUCUAGGGCAAAGAGAGGUCAAAUCGAGAUUUUUGCUGAGUUUUGAGUUCCAGGAAAAACACUGAGCAGAGCCCAUUACCUAGAAAACACCAUCAUGCCAGUUUCCAAAGCUACUUUGCCCUUUUCCCAAUUCCCAGAGUAGAGACACAGUGCACGGUCAAAGAACUUGUCAGUCCUGAAGGUUACUGGGCAGUUAGUAAGUAACAGUACUGAGCUACAGUGGCAAGACAGGGCUUUGGUGAGUACCAGCAGAGGGUGAGACUUCGAGGCAUGGGAGAGGCUAUGAAGUAUUACAUUCUAACAACCCUCAGAUUCAUUUGCUCUGUUUUCCCUGCCACGUCCUCAAAAAGUAAAAAUCUCCCAACACUCCUUGGCCAAUUUCAUCAACUCCCAGCAGCCACAACUUUUUUGACAGAGUACUGCUGUAAUGGAACACCUAACAGAUACAGAUAUUUGGAUGCAAAAUCCAAGGGACAUUGUUCUCAGCCCAGUAUAGCAUUAGUACUGGAAGGCAGCUGCUCUCUAGGAUGUGGUACUCUGAUAAUUGAGGUAAUGCAGCUCUCAAGGGCCAGGCUUGAGUCUGCCCUUAUGACCCAUCCUUAGUAUCUGUAAACAUAACAUGACUGGGAAAUGCAGUCAGUGCUUAAAGAAAACAUCAUUUACAGCUCCAUGCUCUUUAAAGCACAAGAUGAUGAGCAUGAAGAGAUGAAACAAACCACAAAGACAAUCUGCCUUCCAGUGUUGCUUCAUCUUAAAUACUGUAAUGCAGUUUCAAUAUCCAGUUAAAUACUAUCCCAGGUAUGUUAGAUUGAGCAUGGCUGAGCUCCUGUGGUUGCUGGUCAGAGACUAAACAAUAGUAAUGCAUCUGCUUCAUCUCUGGCACGAAGAAUUACACAGAAAUUUAAAACAAGUUUCUAUGGAGCUUGUUCACUGGCACUUGAUUCUGGCUGUCACACCUAGAUGUCAAAUGAUCCCAAAUCUUUGAUCUCAAAUCAAAUGUUAAUGAAAUUGACCUUGUGUGACAGAAAUAAAUCUACUGAAACCAGUGAAGUUAAGCUCUGGGAGCCCACAUGCAUAUUUUGCCUUUUUCUCAAUAAAUUUGUUCUAUUGUAUCAGCCAUAUUUUAUGGUUUGAAUACCUUUGCUAUAAAGUACAUACUCUGAAAGAUAUACAGAAUAAGUGGUUUGUUUUAAUUUAAAAAAAGCUUAUGACAAUAUUUUAACUAACAGUUUUCUGUAGGCAAGUUACUUGAAAAAAAGCAGACAGAUGUAAUGUGAUGACUUCAUUGCUCUCAGCUAGAAUGGAAAAUCAGUACAGAAGAUAGGAGACAUGAAAAGGAAUAGAAAACAUCAGAUUGAGCAAAAAUUAGUAAGAGCUUGCCAUGCUACUCACUGACCAGAAGAGUGGAUUAUAUACAUGAAACUGAAGUUUCAGUACAUCAAAUGGCAAAAGCCAAUCCCCAUGGAAGUUACUGGGUGAUGGUGAUUGCUAAGAUACUCUAAAUUACUCUGUAAAUUUGGCAAAUCAGGGGGAGUGAGUUGUCAACAGGAAAAACCAAGGCAAUAAAUACUGGAAAAGUUGUAAACCACUCAUACAUGCUCUGGUAGAAGUUGUGACAUGAGUCUGAAUUAGUUGUGAUCUUUCAAGGGGACGAUCUAGGCAUCACCAUGGGCAGCUUGAUGAAGACAUCUGCUCACUGUGUAGUUGCAGUCAAGAAAGCGAAUAAGAUGUUAGGCUGUAUUAAAGACAGAACAAUACAGAAAAAUAUUACAGCAUCUAUGUCUCUUAGAGGUGAUAAUCUCAAUGAAUAUUUGCUGUUUCUUCAGCACCUUAAAAAAAGUGACAUAUUAGAAAAAUGAGGCAGGAAACUGGUAAGAGAAUGGUAGAAGCAGCUCCUUGGAGCUGGAAGGACAGUAAAACUAAGGCAGUUUAUUUGUUAGGGGGAUAGAUGACAAACAUCUUAAAAGCAAUUCUCCUUCCCAUCAUGUAAGAUACAUACUUCAAAGUCAUUUUAAGCCACUUACCAAUAAAUAUAUGGACCUUAACUUCACUCGUUACCAUCAUCAUCGUAAGUAUUCCAAAAAGCCCUAUGUUAUUCUGCAGUGCUUAUUAUUCAGCUAGUUCAACACCUUCUCUGAAGCAACCGCCACAGUUUAACAGUGUUGAAGUUUAACAGUAAUAAUUUCUGACAGAGAACUGUCACAGCUGAUGCACAUUAACAACUGUCUUAGAGAUGCUGCAAUGAUAAAAAUGUUGGUAAGAGAAGGUAACUGCUGGGCCUCAUUUCUGUCCAGGACCUACAAGAGCUCUCAUUUGUCUGCAUGCAGGCCACCAUAGUUUUGUUCUCUGAUUCUAUUUGAAGCCCCAUUGUAAAAGCUGAGCAAUGAACCUUGAAAUCACCAGCAAAAGCAGACAAAGGCAUAUUUGUAAGUUACUACUUCAUGUUACUUCAGCUGCAGCUACCUGUUAAAUCAGGAGACAGUAAGUACGAUAAUCGCUCUGCUGUAUCUGUAUUCCUUCUUACCUAUUCUGCUCUCUCACACCUAAGUUUUUGAUAGCUUCUACCCUUUGUUUAUUUCAUAAAACCCCCUCCAUGGCCAACUAUUUCCAUUUUGUUCAUUCCCUUCCUCUACAAUUUGCCUUAAUACCAGAUUUUACAAGUU